rnacentral:piRNA from 1 species
UGUUGUUCUGGUAUUUGUUCGUGUA